rnacentral:rRNA from 1 species
GGAGCAUCCAUGAGUACAGUGGCGUACGGGUGAGUAACACGUGGGUAAUCUACCUCUUAGUGGGGAAUAACCCUGGGAAACCGGGGCUAAUACCGCAUAAGCCUGAGAAGGGAAAGCAGCAAUGCGCUGAGAGAGGAGCCCGCGGCCGAUUAGCUAGUUGGUAGGGUAAAGGCCUACCAAGGCAGAGAUCGGUAGCCGGCCUGAGAGGGCACACGGCCACACUGGCACUGAAACACGGGCCAGACUCCUACGGGAGGCAGCAGUGGGGAAUCUUGCACAAUGGGGGCAACCCUGAUGCAGCGACGCCGCGUGAGCGAUGAAGCCCUUCGGGGUGGUAAGCUCUUUCGUCAGGGAAGAUGAUGACGGUACCUGGAGAAGCAGCUGCCGGCUACUACGUGCCAGCAGCCGCCGUAAUACGUAGGCCGCGAGCGUUGUUCGGAAUUACUGGGCGUAAAGGGUGUGUAAGCCGUUCUUUAAGUUUGGUGUGAAAUCUCCCGGCUCCACCGGGAAGGUGCGCCGAAUACUUGAGGACUAGAGUGCGGGAGAAGAAAGUGGAAUUCCUGGUGUAGCGGUGAAAUGCGUAGAUAUCAGGAGGAACACCGGUGGUUGUAGACGGCUUUCUGGACCGUAACUGACGCUGAGACACGAAAGCGUGGGUAGCAAACAGGAUUAGAUACCCUGGUAGUCCACGCCCUAAACAUGCAUAUUUUGGUGUGGGUCAUUCAGUUGAUCCGUGCCGGAGCUAACGCGU